rnacentral:lncRNA from 1 species
CUUGUAAGUAAGCAUUUCACUUUAAGGUCUACACCUGUUGUAUUCGGCGCAUGUGACUAAUACAAUUUGAUUUGAUAGACUCAUAGUACAGAAUGAAUGACUGACUGCCCGGUUCAACACCAGUUCACCAUCUCACCUCAUACUGUAUUGGAGCAGCAGCAGCUGACUUGAUCGUUGAUGCUAAUCAGCAUUUUUUAAUCUGAGAGUAAAUAGAGCCGACUACACUCUAAAAAUGAACGGUUCAACUGGAGUUGUUUUCAGAUCCCCUAAGAACCGUAGGGUUGUUGGUCAAUGAAAAACAGCACUAAAAGGUUCUUCAAAGAACUUGUUAGAAGGUGGGUUCAUCGAGGAACCUCUGCUGUUGCUGGACUUCUUCCGGGAACUUCGCAAUUACAAUUGAAAACUCUGGUGAAGUUUGGAUGCGACAACAGUUAAAAAGGACAGAACAUGGACACAAUGCUAUUGGGAUCAAGAAGAAGAGCUUCUCAGAAAUGAAUCAAGUCCAUGGAAUGGAUAUAGACAAAGAUAAUUCAAGGACUAGCAGAGGACUGGAGACCACAGUAGCGAUCCCGCUCUUGCCCUACCUCUUCAAUGAGGACCCGAGUGGCCUUAUGUCUGUGACAAGAUUUCACUGCUCUUUACUCCUUUACUGCACAUCGGUGGAAAUCCAUUUCACCAUGAGAGUGAAAUCCCGCUGGCCUUUGAUGGGGAGAACAUCUACGCCCUCGAGGACGUCCCCAUGGGACUUGGGGCUCUGCUACGGCUGUAUUUUUUAUUUAUUUUCCCUUAAAUUUCCCAAAAAUGUCAGAAAAACACUUGUUCUUAUGUUAGUGUUCUGGGGAUAAGAGAAGUUGGGGUGAAGUUACCAGGGCCGGGCAUAAAGAUGGCAAACUUCCUAACAUAACUAAGUGAAUAUGAUAUACACACUAAAGAUGAAAAAUCUGUAUUUAGCAUCAAGUCUACAAUAUUGCUAAUUCAUAUUUGUGGUGUCAGUAAAUAAACAAUUAUUUAAAUCAAUAUUGUCAAUGUUGUUAUUAAAAUAUUUUUUUAUAAUGCAGGGAGGGUGGACCGGGAGUUUAAAAAAU